UCUUUAAAACUAAAAAAUUUGGCGGUAUUUUAGUCUUUUCAGAGGAACCUGUUUUUUAAUUGAUAAUCCACGAUUAGUUUUACCUUUAAUUUUAAUUUGUAUAUCAUCGUGUUUGAAUAUUUUAGGAUUGAAUGUUUUCAGAUCAAGGUGCAGUUUAUAUAAAGGUUAAAAUGGGUUACAUUUAAAAUUUACAUUAAAAUGGAUUUGAAAGUAAGCUCUAGAAUAUGCACAUAUUGCCCGUCGCUUUCAUUUAAGUUGAAAUAAGUCGUAACAUAGUAGGCUUAUUGGAAAAUGAGCCUGGAAAGCAAAUUAGAGCUUGAAAAGUAUUUUAUUUACAUUAAAAUGGAAAUUGUGAAAAUCAAUUUAAUUUGAAUUUAAUAUUUUAUUAUUAUUAUUAUUAUUUUUUGAUUAUUUAAAAAAUUAAAUGUUUAAUUAUGUUAAUGAAUAAAUUUAAUGAUAGCUUAUAGUACAGUGUUGGAAUAAUUAUAAAUUUUAAAAAGAAAAUUUAAUUUGUUGUACCUUGUGUAUCAGGGUUUAUUAAUUUGUUGUUCUCGAAUUAUAAAGAGUUAUUUUUAUUGUAGAAUAAAUAUUUAGAAUAGUUAAAUGGUAAUGAAACGUUAUUCGUUUUAUAAUAUAUCUAGUUUCUUAGGAAAUAAAUUUAAUUUUUUUUAUUUUAUUAUAUUUAUUAGGGGAUAAGCUUUUAAUUAAAUUUUUAUAAUUUAAGAAUUUUUAAUAAUAAAUAGGAUUAGAAUUGUUCAUUUUUAAAAGGAUGUUAUAAUUAGUAAUUUAAUUUUUAUACUAAGAUUAUUUAUUUAAUUAAAAUUUAAGGGUGAUAAUGAUAUAAUUAGUAAGGUGUGAAAAAGGAAUUCGGCAAAAUAUUUUUCACCUGUUUAAUAAAAACAUGUCCUUUUGAUUAUAAUUUAAGGUUUAACCUGCUCCAUGAUUAAAUAGCCGCAGUAUAUUGACUGUGCGAAGGUAGCAUAAUCAUUAGUUUUUUAAUUGAGAACUGGUAUGAAUGGUUGGAUGAGAAAAUAACUGUCUCUAGAAUUUUAUAUUUGAGUAAGAAAGCUUAAAUUUUUUAAAAAGACGAGAAGACCCUAUAGAGUUUUUUUAGGGGUGAUAUAAAAAUUAAAAUAACUUUUUAUG
rnacentral:rRNA from 1 species